AUGGGGAAGGAGAACUGGCAGGUGAUCUCACUUGACGGUUCCAGUAGAAUGUUCCACAGACAUCUCAGACUUCGCAGGCACGGGCCAGGUGACCCUGACCAUGAGGAUCUGGAAACAUUCCUCCCUCCAGCGGACAGCAACUCUUCUGCUGUUGCUAAUCUCGUGGCUUCUCAGGGAGGCCACCCUGGUGUCCCAAGCUACUUGAAGUUGGACUCUCAAGCACGAAAUUUACCUGAAGACUUGAAUAACUAUGCUGCUUCUCCAAAGAGUUGA
ensembl:lincRNA